CCUACGGGAGGCAGCAGUGAGGGAUAUUGGUCAAUGGGGGAAACCCUGAACCAGCAACGCCGCGUGAGGGAAGACGGUUUUCGGAUUGUAAACCUCUGUCCUCUGUGAAGAUAAUGACGGUAGCAGAGGAGGAAGCUCCGGCUAACUACGUGCCAGCAGCCGCGGUAAUACGUAGGGAGCAAGCGUUGGCCGGAUUUACUGGGUGUAAGGGGUGCGUAGGCGGCUUUGCAAGUCAGAAGUGAAAUCCAUGGGCUUAACCCAUGAACUGCUUUUGAAACUGCAGAGCUUGAGUGGAGAAGAGGUAGGCGGAAUGCCCGGUGUAGCGGUGAAAUCCGUAGAUAUCUGGAGGAACAUCAGUGGCGAAGGCGACUAUCUGACACAUAACUGACGCUGAGGAGCGAAAGCGUGGGUAGCAAACAGGAUUAGAUACCCCAGUAGUC
rnacentral:rRNA from 1 species